rnacentral:rRNA from 1 species
CCUACGGGGGGCAGCAGUGAGGGAUAUUGGACAAUGGGGGAAACCCUGAACCAGCGACGCCGCGUGAGUGAAGGAGGUUUUCGGAUUGUAAACCUCUGUCCUCUGUGAAGAUAAUGACGGUAGCAGAGGAGGAAGCUCCGGCUAACUACGUGCCAGCAGCCGCGGUAAUCCGUAGGGAGCGAGCGUUCUCCGGAUUUACUGGGUGUAAAGGGUGCGUAGGCGGCACUGCAAGUCAGAAGUGAAAUCCAUGGGCUUAACCCGUGGACUGCUUUUGAAACUGCAGGACUUGAGUGCAGUAGAGGCAGGCGGAAUUCCAGGUGUAGCGGUGAAAUGCGUAGAGAUCGGGAGGAACACCAGUGGCGAAGGCGGCCUACUGGGCUUUGACUGACGCUGAAGCACGAAGGCGUGGGGAGCAAACAGGAUUAGAUACCCUAGUAGUC